rnacentral:rRNA from 1 species
AUUGAACGCUGGCGGCAGGCCUAACACAUGCAAGUCGAACGAGUGGCGGACGGGUGAGUAAUGUCUGGGAAACUGCCCGAUGGAGGGGGAUAACUACUGGAAACGGUAGCUAAUACCGCAUACCAUCGGAUGUGCCCAGAUGGGAUUAGCUUGUAGGUGAGGUAACGGCUCACCUAGGCGACGAUCCCUAGCUGGCCUGAGAGGAUGACCAGAGACACGGGAACUGAUAGGAGUUCGAGACUCCUACGGGAGGCAGCAGGGGGGAAUAUUGCACGAGGGUCGCGUGCCUGAUGCAGCCAGGCCGCGGGGAUGAAGAAGUCCUUCUGGUUGUAAAGUACUUGCAGCGGGGCGGCGUUAGUCGCAGACGAAGCACCUUCUAACUCCGUGCCAUCAGCCGCGGUUAUAC